ensembl:snRNA U1 U1 spliceosomal RNA
AUACUUACCUGGGAAGUGAGACACCAUGAUCAUGAAAGUGGUUUUCCCAGGGUAAGGCUUAUCCAUUGCAUACCAGAGGUGCCGAUCCCUGUGAUUUCCCCAGAUGUGGGAAACUCAAUCACAUAAUUGUGGUAGUGAGGACUGCGUUCAUGCUCUCCCCU